rnacentral:rRNA from 1 species
GACGAACGCUGGCGGCGUGCCUAACACAUGCAAGUCGAACGGAACGGCCCUGCUUCCGUGGGCUGCCCCAGAGGGGAACGGGGGUGUAACACGAGAGUAACCUGCCCACGACUGUGGGAUACCUUCAGGAAACUGAGGCCAAUACGGGACAGGAGCUCCUGCUGCAUAACGAGGGUUGGCGCGUUGCGGCGGUGGGGGAUGGACCCGAGGUUCAGCAGCUGGUUGGGGAGGUAGCGGCUUACCAAGGCGUUGGGGGGUAGCCGGCCUGAGGGGGUGACCGGCCACAUUGGGACUGCGGUACGCACCAGUAGCCUAUGGGCGGCAGUGGUGGGAAAUAUUACACAACGGGCGGAAGCCUGAUGCAGAAACGCCGCGUGCGGGAUGACGGCCUUCGGGUUGUGAACCUCUUUCGCCUUUGACGAAGCGUUUGUGACGGUAAUUAGUAAAGAAGCACCGGCUAACUACGUG